GCAAUCAGUUAUAUCAUUACUCAUGUACAUCUUUCUGUAAAAUAUUUUGAUAACUAAAUAUUUUAUGAAGUAAAUUGUUGAUCUUAGAUUUGCUGAUUCCAAUUUUUCAUUGGAAAAUGAAUGUUUGAAAUGGUGUUGUUCAUUUAAUGAAUAAAUUUAUGCCUGUG
rnacentral:misc_RNA from 1 species